rnacentral:rRNA from 1 species
GGGAAAAGAGUGUGUAUAAUGUGAGGUGUGCUAUCUAAUAUAAGUAGGUUAGUCUGAAUUUGGUUGAGUAUAAGAGGUACUGUAGGGGAAAGUUGAUUAGAGGAAAGAUUUUGUUAUUAAAUUACCUUUUGUAUUAGGGAUGUUUAAAAUACGGUCUUAUUAUAGUUGUCCCGAAUUGUUUGUGGGCUAACUAAGAUUAGUAAUAUUGUUACAUAAAUAUUAAUAAUUUUUAGUUAGAGAUGAAAUAUUAGUCAAGCAGCAGGAUAUCUGGUUUUCUUAUAAAUAAAUUGAAUUUAUGGGGUUGUCUACCUUCAAAAUGCUGUUAGGCUUAGCUAACAGUAAGUUAAUAUUAAGUAGUAAGUUGUCUUUGAUAGGUUUAAUAAUGAUUAUUUGUUAGAGUUUAUUAUUAUUUAGGUAGAGGAAAAGGUAUUAUAAUAAAAUUUGAAGUCUAUGAGAAUAUGUAUUAAAGUGAAUUAGAUACAGAAAUAUUGAAUGUAUUAGUAGUUUAAGUAGAGUUUACAUUAAUGGACAUAUAAAACGAAAUGAGGAAGGGUUAAGGUAUUAUUAAGGAACUCGGCACAGUAAUCUUGCCUGUUUAAUAAAAACAUGGUUCUUCGGGGUUUGGUGAAGAAUCCGGCCUGCCCACUGACCUGAGUUGAAGGGCUGCAGUAUUUUGACUGUACAAAGGUAGCAUAAUCAUUAGUCUUUUGAUUGAGGACUGGAAUGAAAGGCUUGACAUGAUUACACUGUCUCAGUAAUAGAAAGUUAAUUUUACAUCCUUGUGAAAAGGCAAGGAUGACUUAUAGGGACGAGAAGACCCUAUAAAACUUAACUUUAAUUAAUGUGUUAUUUAGACAAUUAAUAUGAUAUGUUUAUUAAGGAUUUGCUGGGGCGGUAUUUAUUUUACAUAAAUUUAAUGAAAUGAUGGUUGUUAGCUUAAUAGAUGAUCCGAUGUUUUAGGUUGAUAAAAAGAAAGAGUUACUUUAGGGAUAACAGCGUAAUGGUUCCUGAGAGUUCUUAUUGACGGGGCUGUUUGCGACCUCGAUGUUGGAUUAGGGAGUCUUCUUGGCGCAGCUGUUAAGAAAGAUAGUCUGUUCGACUAUUAAAUUCCUACAUGAUCUGAGUUUAAACCGGCGUGAGCCAGGUUGGUUUUUAUCUUUUAUUAGUGAAAUUGAAGUGGUAGUACGAAAGGACCCCUGUUUUCUCAAAUGGUUUGUGUGUUUAUUUAAAGGUACUAAUAUCAAGAGGCUGUUGGUUAAGACUAAGCUGG